rnacentral:sRNA from 1 species
CUGCAAAAGAAGGAGGUUGUGAUGGAGUCUUGGUCUCUUCCACAUUUUCCCCUCCAUCUCUACAACCUGGAGAUAGUUAUGUAGGAUCAGGAUAAGGAGUGAGAACACACAAGAGAGUGGCAUCUGUCUUAUGAUUACCCAUGGAUACCAAAUUUCUUUUUCUUCUUUCUUCUGCACAAACAACUACUGAACAAACCACAAACACCAGAGACCCACAACAAAGGACCCACAUGUCUCCUAAGGACCUGGCAUUUGUUUAUUCUGGAAAGUCCCCAGAGUUCCAGAAGUCACAGGAACAGAGA